rnacentral:rRNA from 1 species
CCUACGGGUGGCUGCAGUGGGGAAUAUUGGACAAUGGGCGAAAGCCUGAUCCAGCCAUGCCGCGUGUGUGAAGAAGGCCUUCGGGUUGUAAAGCACUUUCAGUGGGGAAGAAAGCCUUGGGGCUAAUACCCUCGAGGAAGGACAUCACCCACAGAAGAAGCACCGGCUAAUUCCGUGCCAGCAGCCGCGGUAAUACGGAGGGUGCGAGCGUUAAUCGGAAUUACUGGGCGUAAAGCGCGCGUAGGCGGUCUGAUAAGCCGGUUGUGAAAGCCCCGGGCUCAACCUGGGAACGGCAUCCGGAACUGUCAGGCUAGAGUGCAGGAGAGGAAGGUAGAAUUCCCGGUGUAGCGGUGAAAUGCGUAGAGAUCGGGAGGAAUACCAGUGGCGAAGGCGGCCUUCUGGACUGACACUGACGCUGAGGUGCGAAAGCGUGGGUAGCAAACAGGAUUAGAUACCCCAGUAGUC